UACAGAGGGGGCAAGCGUUAUUCGGAAUUAUUGGGCGUAAAGGGCGCGUAGGCGGCCUGGCAAGUGGAAGGUGAAAUCCCUCGGCUUAACCGAGGAACUGCCUCCCAAACUGCUUGGCUUGAGACCGGGAGAGGUGAGUGGAAUUCCCAGUGUAGCGGUGAAAUGCGUAGAUAUCGGGAGGAACACCUAUGGCGAAGGCAGCUCGCUGGGACGUUACUGACGCUGAGACGCGAAAGCGUGGGGAGCAAACAGG
rnacentral:rRNA from 1 species